CAGGCCUAACACAUGCAAGUCAAGGAUAACGGGAAUCUUCGGAAUUCCUAGUAAACUGGCGAACGGGUGAGUAACACGUAGGUAACCUGCCCACGGGACGGGGAUAACCUUGCUAACGCGGGGCUAAUACCGGAUAAUAUUCCCUUAUCGCAUGAUAAGGGAAUCAAAGUUGCCUUCGGGUUGUACCUGUGGAUGGACCUGCGCCCCAUUAGCUUGUUGGUAGAGUAGCGGCCUACCAAGGCGACGAUGGGUAGCCGGCCUGAGAGGGUGACCGGCCACACUGGGACUGAGAUACGGCCCAGACUCCUACGGGAGGCAGCAGUGAGGAAUAUUGCGCAAUGGGUGAAAGCCUGACGCAGCAACGCCGCGUGGAUGAUGAAGCUCUAAGGAGUGUAAAGUCCUGUUAGGAGGGAAGAAUAAUAUUUAUUCGAUAAGGAUAAGUGUUUGACGGUACCUCCAGAGAAAGCCCCGGCUAACUCCGUGCCAGCAGCCGCGGUAAU
rnacentral:rRNA from 1 species